rnacentral:rRNA from 1 species
CCUACGGGUGGCAGCAGUGAGGAAUAUUGGUCAAUGGACGCAAGCCUGAACCAGCCAAGUCGCGUGCGGGAUGAAGGUUCUAUGAGUCGUAAACCUCUUUUGUACGAGGGUAAAGUGUGGUACGUGUACUUUUUUGAAAGUACCGUAUGAAUAAGGAUCGGCUAACUCCGUGCCAGCAGCCGCGGUAAUACGGAGGAUUCGAGCGUUAUCCGGAUUUAUUGGGUUUAAAGGGUGCGUAGGCGGCCGUUUAAGUUAGAGGUGAAAUUCCGUGGCUCAACCAUAGAAUUGCCGUUGAUACUGGUGGGCUUGAGAGUAGUUGAGGUAGGCGGAAUGUAUGGUGUAGCGGUGAAAUGCUUAGAGAUCAUACAGAACCCCGAUUGCGAAGGCAGCCUACCAAGCUACGUCUGACGUUGAGGCACGAAAGCGUGGGGAGCAAACAGGAUUAGAUACCCCGGUAGUC